rnacentral:rRNA from 1 species
UACGGAGGAGGCAAGCGUUAUCCGGAAUUAUUGGGCGUAAAGCGUCCGCAGGUGGCACUUCAAGUCUGUCGUCAAAGACUGGGGCUUAACCCUGGAAAGGCGGUGGAAACUGAAGCGCUAGAGUGCGGUAGGGGUAGAGGGAAUUCCCGGUGUAGCGGUGAAAUGCGUAGAGAUCGGGAAGAACAUCGGUGGCGAAAGCGCUCUACUGGGCCGCAACUGACACUCAGGGACGAAAGCUAGGGGAGCGAAUGGG